UGCUCGGGGAACAGAAUGAACUCACUGGCAGAAAGAGUGCCUCGUAGUUAUACUAAGCAUUUGACAAAUUGUGGUUAUUAGGAUGGAAGUCUAAAGGCCACGGGCAGGACCCGGCCUGGCUUCGCUUCUGGAGAAUCGCUGCCAUUGUGACUUCUAGUAUCUGAGCCCCAACCGAGCCAUGAAAGUCAUCAGAGCACAAAGCCCUUCUGUUCUGCUGUGCCAAGAACUCCCUCGUGCACACUCACCCCACGGCCCAGCCUGUGGCCCCCACAACUCAGAACCUCCUGUAUGAGCCUCAGACAGCAAAGCUGUUACAGCAGAUUUUGUUUAAAAAAAAAGGAGAGAGAAGAAAAAGUUUUGGAUGGUCAAUUAGCGAUGUGAGGUACUCCCCAUAAUCAGGAGAGAAACCCUAAUGUGGAGUCUUUUUUUUUUCUUUCUUUCUUUUUAAGAAGUGAAGUCUAGCAACUUCCAAGUUGCAGCCAAAAUGAUCAAAGUUGCCGGCAUUUCGAGGCCAAAGUACUGAGUCCUGUGGUUGAUUCCCUGGGCCUGGCCGGUGUCACUUCCCUGUGCCGAGGACGUGCAGGUGGAGCAGAGCAGAAGGAGACAAGAACCCUGAAUGGUGCCAGCAAGGAGUGGGCAACUAAAGGACUGCACUCGUUUCCUGCUUCCCUUGCAGUUGAGGACAACCAGGCAAGCAACAGGAGCAGAGGUUGGAGUGAUGG
rnacentral:lncRNA from 12 species